rnacentral:tRNA from 1 species
GGCGGUGUAGCUCAGCUGGUUAGAGCGUACGGCUCAUACCCGUAUUGUCAGUGGUUCGAGUCCACUCACCGCUA